ACGCACGCUGGCGGCGUGCUUAACACAUGCAAGUCGAACGGAAAGGCCCUGCUUUUGUGGGGUGCUCGAGUGGCGAACGGGUGAGUAACCCGUGAGUAACCUGCCCUUGACUUUGGGAUAACUUCAGGAAACUGGGGCUAAUACCGGAUAGGAGCUCCUGCUGCAUGGUGGGGGUUGGAAAGUUUCGGCGGUUGGGGAUGGACUCGCGGCUUAUCAGCUUGUUGGUGGGGUAGUGGCUUACCAAGGCUUUGACGGGUAGCCGGCCUGAGAGGGUGACCGGCCACAUUGGGACUGAGAUACGGCCCAGACUCCUACGGGAGGCAGCAGUGGGGAAUAUUGCACAAUGGGCGGAAGCCUGAUGCAGCAACGCCGCGUGCGGGAUGACGGCCUUCGGGUUGUAAACCGCUUUCGCCUGUGACGAAGCGUGAGUGACGGUAAUGGGUAAAGAAGCACCGGCUAACUACGUG
rnacentral:rRNA from 1 species